rnacentral:rRNA from 1 species
UACGGGGGGGGCAAGCGUUGUUCGGAAUUACUGGGCGUAAAGGGCUCGUAGGUUGCCAACUAAGUCAGACGUGAAAUCCCUCGGCUUAACCGGGGAACUGCGUCUGAUACUGGAUGGCUUGAGUUCGGGAGAGGGAUGCGGAAUUCCAGGUGUAGCGGUGAAAUGCGUAGAUAUCUGGAGGAACACCGGUGGCGAAGGCGGCAUCCUGGGACCGACACUGACACUGAGGAGCGAAAGCCAGGGGAGCAAACGGG